UUUGGUGACUGAAUUAAAAAAAAAAUACACAAAAUUAGUAAAACAAAACCAAUAAAACAAACAAAUUGAAAAUAUGCACAAACGCACAAUACCAACCAUCAAAUUGCAGUGAUGAAGUCAUGUACUCUGAAAACCUAACCCCAAGGAAGAAAUCAAAACCCUUAGUAGAAAUCGGCAUUGGCAUUCUAAUUAGAAAUCAAAACCCUAAUUAUAAAUCAAAGCCGUAAUUAUAAAUUGAAUCCCUAAGGAAGAAAUCGACAGAAGAUGAGAUAACGGGUAGAAAUCAAAACAUCUUUCCGAAUUUUGGUUGAAGACCUAGAGACAGACAACUCUAGUGAAAAUUCUAAUUCCCCUGUGUAUGUCAAUCAGUAUGAGUCUAAUUUUAAAGGUGAUGAAGAGCAAAAAUCUGAAAGCUUGGUGAUGGUACCGAGAUCUGCGCCAACAAAGAACCAACUAGCACCCGAGCAGGAGAUGGAUUCCAUGGAAGGUGAUGCGGAAAACAGCGCAAACACAAACUAGCGAGGAAGGUGAGGUGUUAGCAGCAGUGGAAGCUUGGAGUUGGGGGGUACAUCUCAAAGCUACAAACAUCCAAAUAGAAACCAGCUGCAACAACCUCUAUAGGAUGAUAAGUGGAGCUCCAAACAACAUUUCUUGGCAAGCUUUCGCGAGAUGGGAUGCUAGUAAACAAACAGUCAUCAAAGCGAAUUUCUUUAUAUGCGAUAAAUCUUUCUUUUAUUAAGUAUUGUAACUAAGAAAGCCAAUCAGACAGCUAUUGAUUUGGGGCAGAUGCCCAAAGCAACAGCAACCUGGGAUAGGUUGCAUUUUAGCGAAUGCAACCAAACCCAAACAAUUUGUAUCUUUCCAUGAUCUAUUUAUUUACUAGAUCUUUAUUACCCAAAAAAAAAAAA